GCUGGUAGGUAACUAAUGGCUCGAGCCCGAGGGUCGACUCGUCAUACUCCUUGAUGACAUCAAGGAGGUAUUCGAUGCUGUUCUCGCCAUCCGGGACUUGCCGGCCGAACCCAGCCAGGUGGGCUGGGAGGGCAGUUGGGCUUCCCUGGUAAAUCAAUCUUCCUCUGGACGAAAUUUUAGAAGACAUUUAACUAGACCAUUAAAGUUGGAUCUCUGACGAAGAAAAAGAUGGGGCAAAAAAACAUCUCACAAUAAUCAGAAAUCAGAUGUCUCGAAAGUGCUUUAGCUGGCUCGAAAGUGUACCUUGCAAGGAUGAUGAGUCGGUCGAGGAGCAUCUGAAUCCGAAAAGAAGGCUGGUGGAUUGUCAUUAGCACAAUACUCCCUCCCUUAGCAAUGUCCUUCACCUUCUCCACAACACUAUAAGCACUGGUUGAGUCGAGGCCCGAAGUGGGCUCAUCGAGGAACAGCAACGACGGUUUAUGAAUGAUGUCUAUCCCAAUCGACACCCUCCGCCGCUCGCCGCCUGAUACGCCUCGCCGUCCUUCGUCUCCAAUGAAAAAGUUAGCGCUCUUAAUGUUUGGAUGAAUGGUGUGAUCGAGAAAAAGACCAGAGAAAUCUCCGUAAACCUGCAAACCAAGCUGUUCGAGGAGCUCCCACACUCGCUGCUUCUUUUCGUGCUGAGAAAGCGAAGGUGAUAGCCUGACUUCGGCGGCGAACAUGAACGUCUCGAACACCGUCAGCAUGGGGAAGAGUUGAUCAUCCUGCAUCACAUAUGAUGACACCUUCUUCAUGUAGCUGGUUGUGACCUGAUGAUGAAUAUUUACCCAUGAAAUUCUAUUGCAAUGUAUCUCCCUUCUCUAAUGAACCAUUUCAGGGGUUCUAGAGAACAACAAUUUUAAUAUCUCAAAUUCGACAAAAGAGCGACCAUGAUUUCGGACUAACCGGUCGUCCAUCGAUGCUGACCGAUCCUUCGAGGCUCCCCUUUGCAAUCCUACCCGCCAGUGCAUCGAGAAACGUGGAUUUUCCGGCGCCACUGGGGCCGAGAAUGGCGGUGACUUGCCUACGGAGUGCUUGGCCCGAGAUGUCAUUAAGGAGAUAGGCCGCCUUCUUGAUCUUCACACCAUCUUUCUUCUGCUUCUUGAUGAUACUGUAAGAUAAGUUCUGAAACUCUAACCCCUGGCCCGGGUGCAGCAGCACCUUCUCCGCCGCGGCCGCCGCUUGUUGGUUCGUCGGCUUCUCCUGGUCGAGAAGGCUCUCUAGGCUUCUGUUGGUGUCUGCGCGGCGAAGCGGUAUCUCCGCUGUCCUUCGGCUGCCCAUUAUUUUGCAGAAUUUGGGUCCAAAUUGCAGGGUUUCUGUUUUCUGUUUGGAUUUAAAGAAGAGCAGAGUUUUAUUGUCAUUUAUGAGGAGAUUGUGAAGGCGAUUUGUUUGAUGGGUUAAUGGAAAAAGAGCAUUGGAAGUAUGGAAAGAAACAAGGCUGGUGGAGCUGUCUCUUUGUGUUCUUUGGAGUUUGAUGUUGACCCAGCUUUGUUAUUGCAGGAGAGAUUUGGUGUUUGUUCUUUCGUUGGAAUAGAGAGGGAAAUGUAAUGUGUAUUAUAUAUAGUGUGCCAAUGUUUGUGACAUUAGAGUAACUACAACCAUUUAUAACCAAAAGAGCAUUAGUCCAAUUACAUACCUAGCGGAAGAACAUAAUGUAAUAGUAACUCUUUUGUCGCAAAUUAACACUAAUAUAAUUCAUCUUGAGCCCACCUGUAAAA